UCAAUGAGAAUAAUGCAAUUUAUGUAUCUAAACAUGUUUUGUUUUUUUGAACCUGCAACACAAAAAGGAAGUCAACUAGGGGAGUUUGAUGGAGCUAUAUUUUUAACCCUAUUCACCUGUAAUGCAUUAACAAUGCAGGCGUAUGUUAAUAAGCUCAUUCAGCCUGUUAAACAAAAUAUUCAGAAUCAAUAGCUCAAAAUUAUAUGAAAUGGUCUGUUCACUGGCCUCACCUCAAAUUUGCCAUCAGAAGAUCAUCUUUGAGAAUGUGGUCCCAGUUUGUGGCAGCCUUAGAAAUACUGCAUGUCAAUUGUUUGUGUGUCGUGUUUAAUAUAAUUGAAUGUUGCAUUGCAAUAUUACAACAGUUGUCACAAUUUCUCACAUAUUUCUUUUUCACAGCACAGAGUAAUAGUCUUUUUCAAGACUUUUUCCAUUCACGUCUUCCACGUCCACAUCCACGUGGUUGUGUUGCAGACUUGAAGUUAAGCACAGAGUAAUAGUCUUUUUAAAGACUUUUCCAUUCACGUCUUCAUUGGUUGUGUUGCAGACUUGAAGUUCAGGCUUGUUCCAGACCAGACCAGUUUGGUGGCUGGGUCCCUGUCUGUGUGCACAACACACUGACAACAUAACCUACUAAUAUACAUACAAACAUAUCUGAGCACAUAUUGGAGCACAUACCUAUCUGAACAUAUCAGAGCACAUACUAAGAUUUAUACUGAGACGUAUCUUGAGAACUAUACCAAGACUUAUUCUGAAAACUAUACAGAUUGGUGGCUGGUUGCCUUUCUGUGUGCACAACAACCAUACAUCACUGACAACAUAACCUACUAAUACCUACAAACAUAUCUGAGACAAUAUCUGAGCACAUACCUAUCUGAGCACAUACUGAGACUGCUACUAAGAUUUAUCCUGAGAACUAUACUGAGAUUUAUCCUGAGAACUAUCUGAGCACAUACUGAGACUUCUAAUAAGAUUUAUACUGAGAUUUAUCCUGAGAACUAUACUGAGCACAAACUGAGACUUCUACUAAGAUUUAUACUGAGAUUUAUCCUGACAACUAUACUGAGCACAUACUGAGACUUCUACUAAGAUUUAUACUGAGAUUUAUCCUGAGAACCAUCCUGUGAAUCAUAUCUGAACAUAUCUGAGCACAUAUACCGAGACUUCUACUAAGAUUUAUCCUGAGAAUUCUACUGAGAACUAGACUGAGAUUUAUCCUGAGAACUAUACUGAGACUCAUUCUGAGAACCAUACCUGUAAAUCAUAUCUGUCAGCCAUUCAUACCUUUGAAUCAUACCGGUGUUGUGAAAUCUGUGAAACUUAGCUGUGUUGUUAGACCUCUGCUUUUAGACCUGAACUGUGCAAAGAUUGAGAUUCUAACCUAGAUUUAGUCUAAAACUGACCAUCUGAAGAGCUGACUCUUAUUCUUCAGUCUAUAUCACCAUCAAAUACCAUUA